rnacentral:rRNA from 1 species
AUGAUGGACCUGGAUCCCCGCCUCUACGAGGACGCCUCUGUCAGCGAUAACGAUGUUCGCAACAUAGUGCUAUCUUAUCUUAUGCACAAUUGUUUUAAGGAGACCGCAGAGACCUUCCUAUCCAGCACUGGGUUAAAGUUACCUGUUGAUUAUACUGUAGAUGUGGAUAAGCGUAAAGCAAUCUUAAAUUUUGUGGUGGAAGGGGAUGCCGUGAAGGCCAUAGAACUGACAGAAGAGUUGGCACCCAACUUGCUAGAGAAUGACAUGGAUUUACAUUUUGAUCUUAUAAGUCUUCACUUCAUUGAGCUAAUUCGUUCCAGAAAAUGCACAGAAGCACUCGAGUUUGGCCAGAAAAAGUUGACACCCUUUGGUAAAGUUUCCAAGUAUGUUGAGAAAUUAGAGGACUUUAUGGCCCUCCUAGCUUAUGAAGAGCCUGAGAAGUCACCUAUGUUUCAUCUACUAGCCCCAGAGUAUAGGCAGAAUGUUGCAGAUAGUUUGAAUCGGGCUAUUCUCGCACAUGCUAAUCUACCAGCAUAUUCAUCAUUGGAGAGAGUUAUACAGCAGUCGACCGUGGUGAGACAAUAUCUACAGCAGGAAGUUGACAAGGAUUCUUACCCACCGUUUUGUUUGAAGGCCUUUCUGGACAAGUAA